CGCUAGCGACAGGCCUAACACAUGCAAGUCGAGGGGUAACAGAUAUAAAGCUUGCUUUAUAUGCUGACGACCGGCGCACGGGUGAGUAACACGUAUGCAACCUACCUUUUACAGGAGAAUAACCCAGAGAAAUUUGGACUAAUACUCCAUAAUAUUUUUGUAUCGCAUGAUAUAGAAAUUAAAGUUCCGGCGGUAAAAAUGGGCAUGCGUCCUAUUAGUUAGUUGGUAAGGUAACGGCUUACCAAGGCUAUGAUAGGUAGGGGUUCUGAGAGGAUAAUCCCCCACAUUGGUACUGAGACACGGACCAAACUCCUACGGGAGGCAGCAGUGAGGAAUAUUGGUCAAUGGCCGCAAGGCUGAACCAGCCAUGUCGCGUGAAGGAUGACUGCCCUAUGGGUUGUAAACUUCUUUUGUAUGGGAAGAAAGGUGUCUACGUGUAGAUAUUUGCCGGUACCAUACGAAUAAGGAUCGGCUAACUCCGUGCCAGCAGCCGCGGUAAUACGGAGGAUCCAAGCGUUAUCCGGAUUUAUUGGGUUUAAAGGGUGCGUAGGUGGCUGUAUAAGUCAGUAGUGAAAUCUCGGAGCUCAACUCCGAACGUGCUA
rnacentral:rRNA from 1 species